GGGGAAGGAAUCCAUCAUCACCACUGAAACCACAUUAGCUUUCUGCCCUCUGCUACAGAUGUGUCUGACGUGGACCUCGGGAUGCUGGCAGGGCCAGGCUCCUUCUGGAGACAGUAAAGAUGGCCCAUUCCUUGUUCAUACAGCGGUGUUGGCUGAAGGUCACCCUAACUACUGAGGGCUGCCUACCUUCCUCACUCUGUUCCCCUUCCUGGUCAUCAAAGACAUCAAGGGCCCUGAGCAUAUUAGACAAGCCCACAAGACCCAUCUUUGCAGGCUUAUGGGAUACUAGCCAGGUUGCUAGACAGACCUGCAAGCCCACACACCUGGCACAAGAGGACAGAGAGUCCAAGAGAGUCCAAGAGGCAGUAUGCAGGUGUCCAGCUGCUCAUAUGAAGAGCUCUGGGAAGAGCUGAUAGUAGCCCAGGUCCACCUCUGGACCUGGAGGGCCCAGGCCUGGCCAAACUCUUCCCAGUGCCUCUGGCUGUGCUUUCCCUUAUAUCUACAAUAAAACCUUCCCCUUAACCAU
rnacentral:lncRNA from 1 species